rnacentral:lncRNA from 1 species
UAAAUAUGCUAACAAAAGCAAAACAUACAUAUAAUCCCUCUCAUGAACACCGCACUAAUUAACUAAAGUUGUGUGAUAAACGAAACAAACUUAUUGAUCAGCUCUACAGCUUUUUCACAUUUAAGAUUGUCGAAAUAGAAGCUAUGCCCUUCGCCGUGAGUCUCAAAAAGCUCCACCGUUCCUUUCCACCCACUUUUCUUCAAGUCUUCGUAGUAAUUCAUAGCCACAGGUUUCAAAAAAUCUUUCUCGGCCACAAAUAUCAAAACCCUCUCACACCCAAGCCUGGCCAGAUCCUCUGCGGGCAUUUCAGCCGAGGAUCCUGCAACUCCCCGUUUGUUGGACACAUGUACAACCUCAUCUCAUCUUCUUCAGGACUAGUGCCACCGAAAAAUGGAUGCACCAUAAUAACCCAAACCAACUUUACACGGGGUAACCCGAUUGACCCGACCGGAAACGCCAGAGUGUGUGCAAUAUUCCCUCCAGCACUGCCUCCUCCAAUGAAAACUCUCCUAAAAUCAGUGUGAUCAUUCAACCAGGGCUCGGGUCCAUUUCCACCAGCAUGGGACGCCACCCAGUUGAGUGUAGCCCACGAGUCUUCGUAACAAGCGAGUAUGGGUCGAUCCGGGAAGAGCUUGUAUUCCACGGACACCACUAUAGCGUUAGCUUGUGCAGAAACGACACUACAGAAAUUAUGAUACAGCGGACCAAAGGCGGACCGCCUGCAGAAUCCGCCGCCAUGCAAGUAGAAUAAGAGAGGGAGGCACAAUUGUACUUUUUUUUUUUUUAAUUUGGGAAGGAAAUUUCUGUUGAACAUGUGAAAAGUGAAAACAAUGGGAGACACAAUUGUACUUUUUUAGACAAAAUCUCAUGGUAAGCCACACACCCGUAGUAAAAUACUAUGUAAUGAAAAAAAAAAUGAAUUUAAAUACUUUAUAUAAGUUGCAAACUGGAAUCAGAUAUUGGAAUUUAUAUUUCCGGAUUUCGAUUGAACGACUCUCUAUAACUCUUCAAUUAUUGAAAUGUUAAUCAGUUAAUUAUGUUCUGUCAAUACCAAUUCAAUCACAAGUAUGGCGACAUGAAAAAUAAUAAAACAAUCACAAUUGACAAUUAGUAUUUGCUUUCAAUACUAUUUCUGGGGGAACCAUUAUUUUGCUUGAUGAAGGAGAUGAAUUUAUUGGUCAACUCCAAAGCAUUUGUACAUGUAGGGUUUCUCAAAUAAAAGACAUGCUUCUCAUCGAGAUGCUCAACGAGCUCCACUCUCCCUUUCCAUCCACUUUUCUUCAACUCCUCGUAGUAAUUUUUCCCAGCGGGACACAAGUAGUCUCUCUCAGCCACAAAUAUCAAAACCCUCUCACACCCAAGCCUAGCCAGAUCCUCUGCGGGCGGUUUCAUCCUAGGAUCCUGCGGCCCAUCAUUACUUGCACACAUGUACAACCACAUCUCAUCGUCCUCCGUACCGCCAAAAAAUGGGUGUACCAUCGUCACCCCAACCAAGUUCACACCGGGUAGCCCGAUUGAUCCGACCCGGAACGCCAGAGUGUGUGCGAUGUUCCCUCCUGCACUGUCCCCACCAAUGAAAACUCUCCCAAGAUCAGCAUGAUGAUUCAACCAUGGGUCAGGUCGGUUUCCGCUAACAUGGGAGGCCACCCACUUGAGUGCAGCCCACGAGUCUUCGUAACAAGCGGGUAUGGGUCGAUCCGGGAAGAGUCCGUACUCCACGGAUACGACUAUGGCAUUCGCUUGAGAAGAAACGGUGUUACAGAAAUCAUGAUAGGGCUUCGCAAAGGCGGAUAACGUGCAGAAUCCACCGCCAUGCAUGUAGAGUAAGAGAGGGAACUUUUGUUUAUCAGAGUUUGUUACUUUAGGAAUGAAAAUACGGGCGGAUACCGUUGGUUGAGAUGAAAUAACAACAUCUUUGGAUCGGACGCAGCUGAUGGGGUCGGAAGAACUCGAGGCAGCCGUCAUUGUAAACCCGGAAAAAUGGGAACUCUUUGAUAAUUUCUUUAGGGCUUGAACUUGAUGCCGUUAAAGAAUACUGAGUAAAACAAUAAGUAAAAAUAAUAAAGAAAAGAAAAAGGAGUGGUCCCGCGCACUAUUUUGAAACUGGCAUAACGUUUUAUAAUUGGAAAAUGUUAAAUAUGAAGAAGAAUGAGAGAAAACUGAGAAAAUGAAGUAUGUGCUGAGAGAAGAGAGAGAGAGAAAAAGCCGACAGAAGAGAGAGAGAUGAAAUAAAAAAACAGCCAGUAGUUUCUCUUAGUAAGAGAGAGAGUAUGCAUGCAGCUUUCUUCUGAGGUAGAGUAGAGGAUGGCAAACUUGUUUCCCAGGGACUAAACUCUGCUUGUAAUUCGAAGCUUUCAAUCUUUUAUAAUUCACAAUUGCUGUGAAAUGGAUCAGUCACAAACGGCAGCAAUGAAUGACGAAUUCCAUCAAAUAAUGUUCUUACUAAGUUGUGUGUUGUGUUUGUAGAGUUUAAUUGAGGUACAGACAUACUCUAAUAAUAUGCCAUUUUUGUGCAUAUUUAUUUAGUUUGGUAUCAUCACUUGUUUUCACAUUUGUUCGUAUUGUAUAAUCAUACUGUAUUUUAUUAACAAGUUGUUUCUUUCAUAAAUUAAAAUGCCUUAUAAACAUAUUCAUAGUUCCUCUUUACAUUUUAUUUUAGGUUUGUUUUCUUUUUUAACACCAGUUUUCUUUUAAGUCAAUAGCAACUCAAUUUUCUCUCUAUUUAUGUGAGCGGAGUUUGAACUCUAAAUAUUUUAUUUUUAAUACGAGAGAUUUUAUUAAUAACCUUAACAUAUGCAUUACAUCAAGUUCAAGCCUACGAGUAAAUCCUUCCUGUUGCAGUGCCCGUAACAGGAAGGAUUUUAUUAAUAACCUUAACCCAAAAUAUACUAACAAAAGCAAAACAUACAUAUAAUCCCUCUCAUGAACACCGCACUAAUUAACUAAAGUUGUGUGACAAACGAAACAAACUUAUUGAUCAGCUCUACAGCUUUUUCACAUUUAAGAUUGUCGAAAUAGAAGCUAUGCCCUUCGCCGUGAGUCUCAAAAAGCUCCACCGUUCCUUUCCACCCACUUUUCUUCAAGUCUUCGUAGUAAUUCAUAGCCACAGGUUUCAAAAAAUCUUUCUCAGCCACAAAUAUCAAAACCCUCUCACACCCAAGCCUAGCCAGAUCCUCUGCGGGCGGUUUCAGCCGAGGAUCCUGAAACCCUGCGUUUGUUGGACACAUGUACAACCAGGUCGCAUCUUCUUCAGGACUAGUGCCACCGAAAAAUGGAUGCACCAUGAUCACCCCAACCAAUUUUACACAAGGUAACCCGAUUGUCCCGACCCGAAACGCCAGUGUGUGUGCAAUAUUCCCUCCAGCGCUGGCUCCUCCAAUCAAAACUUUCCCAAAAUCAGCGUGAUCAUUCAACCAUGGCUCGGGUCCAUUUCCGCUGACAUGGGACGCCACCCAGUUGAGUGCAGCCCACGAGUCUUCGUAACAAGCGGGUAUGGGUCGAUCCGGGAAAUUCCCAUAUUCCACGGACACCACUAUAGCAUUAGCUUGUGCAGAAAAGACGCUACAGAAAUUAUGAUACCGCGGACCAAAGGCGGACUGCCUGCAGAAUCCGCCGCCACGCAAGUAGAAUAAGAGAGGGAGCUUAUUCUGGUUAGGGUUUUGGGCUUCAUACGGAAUGAAGAUACGAGCAGACACGGGUGGUUCGGACGAAAUAACAACGUCUUUGGAUCGGACGCCGGUGGUGGAGUCAUCGGAGGGUUGGAUUUUUUCGCAGUCGGGUUCGAAUAACUCAACCCGGCCGUCUUUGUAAACCCGGAAGAAUCGGAAUUCUUUUGCAAUUUCCGAGUCGCUUGAUGCCAUGUUUUUAAUUUGAAGCUUCGGUUUGAAAUAUAAUAAUAAAAGAGAAGAAGGGUUCUUUGUGUUUGUGCUGUUUGGUGAAAGAGGGAGAGCCAUCAAACGCUUUAUAAUAUGGGAACGUACGUAGCUACCUAACUUUCAAAGCAUCUUCUCGCCCUACGUGGCUACCUAACUUUCACAGCAUCUUCUCGCUCAUAAGUAUCUGUUUCUUUGACAGUUAUUUUUUCUUUCUUUCAUACCUUUUUCUUAUCAGUAAAUAGUUACGAUGCACGAAUUGACGUUGAUAUUCCUUUUUUUCACACCUUUUUCUUGUCAGUAAAUAUUUACGAUACGCGAAUUGACGUUGAUAUUCCUUUUUUUCAUACCUUUUUCUUAUCAGUAAAUACUUACGAUGCACGAAUUGACGUUGAUAUUCCUUUUUUUCAUUCCUUUUUCUUGUCAGUAAAUAUUUACGAUACACGAAUUGACGUUGAUAUUCCAAUUAUAGAUACGGCCAUACGGGUCCGCCUAAGUUACAGUUAAUCUAAUUUACAGCUGCCCUGUAAAUGAUGUUAUGAUAUAUAUAUUUUUAUUUUGAAAAACUAACAUGUAAAUGGUAAUUAUAUUAAAUUUAAUUAUACAUAUUAUACAUGUAUUAGUUGAUUGUAUUAUCUCUAAUAUAUUCUAGAAUUCUUCCCAACAUUAAUAAGAUUAUUCGAAGGAUUAAUGAAUUAGAAGGAUUAGAAUUUAGUAUUCGACUGCGUUUUUAUUUGAACACUGAAUUAAUAGUUAGGAUUAUUUUUAUUUUUUUCUCUUGUCUAACGGUUUUUACUCUCUUAUUUCUUUUUUCAAUUUGUCUUUAUUUUAUUGGGGUUAGAAACUCAUUCUUUUUUAUUUUUCACACACUAAAAUCACCGGCAGUGGAUCCACCUCAUAACCAGUGGUGGUUUAAACCCCCACUAGAGAAAAUAAUUUCAAAAAAUUAAAAAAAUUACUUGAGUUACUAAUUAUCCCUGUUAAAUUUAUAAAAGUAGCCCCAUAAACUUAUAAGCCCAUAUAAUUUAAGGAUAAAGAUCAUUUCAUGGUAUGAACAUAUUUGAACAUUGAAGAAUCUUUUAACAUUUAUACAUUGUUAUUUGAGUGAUGAUACAGUCACAAACUCUUGUACAAAUUUAUCUUAUACAAACUGAUUUGUCAUUAAUUAAUUAGUUAAAUGAAAAUACAAAAUAAUAAAAAUAGAACAUGUGGGUCAAGAGAUAUUUAAUUCAACCAAUUUUAUCAUGUCACAUCAGUUUGUACAAAAUAAAUUUGUACAAGAGUUUGUCGCUAUAUUAUUAUUCUUUAUUGUUAAAAAAAAUCAUAUUUUUAAAAAUAAUUUUUUCUUUACUUUUCAAAAUUUAUUGUAGGAUAAAGUAAUUUUACCAAAAGAGAUUUUUAAACAAAAUUCACUAAACAGAAAAUAAUUUUAAUUUUUUAAAAUUACUUUUAAGUUUUAAAAGCAUUCUGAAAUGUUAAAUUGAGACCUUAGGCAUAAAACCAAGAAAAAAAAAAACUCUUACGAAAGGCUGACGAACAAAAUAUUUUAACUUUAAAUGAGUAGAAAACAUAAGAAAAGGUAAACAUGUAUCACGGGUGCUAUACGACAGCUCUUUCUACCAAGGCUGUAUCGGGUAAAAUGACCCUACUUCUUUUAAUUAUUAUUUAAUAUUUUUAAUAAUAAAGAAAAAGACAUCAUAAAUAAGGGUCCAGCUAUAGUACUACAAUAAUAUCAUACCACAGCUGAAUUCAUAAUAGUAUUACAUUAUGUGCUGAAUCCAAUGACUGAAUGGUAUGGUAGCCAUAAUUUUGCCCCAAAAAUAAUUGUUGGCCCCGCCAAUUACUUCUUUACAAGACGACAAGAAGACUUGUCUCUAUCAAAGCAAUACUCCUUUUAUUAUUUAAUAUUUUAAUAAUAAAAGUUUAUAAUUAAUUUAGAACUGAUCUAAAAUACAUUACAAUUUUAAUCAUAUAAUUAUAAAAGAAUGUUAUCCAACAUCACUAGAUCCCAUUAAUAAUUAUUGGCCUAACACUAUAAAAGCCAAUUGCUUUUUUGAGGAAAUCGAUUAUCAAACACUCAGUUUGUACGGAGCUCCUCAUGGGUCCGCCUGAGUUACAUUUAAUGUAACUUACCGGCAGCUUGUGAAAUUUUAUCUAACCCCCUAUACUCUAUUAUAAUUUUAUUUUAUUCAUAAAUAUUAUAAACUUUUUGAAUUAUAAAUUUUUGUUUAACUCUUUAUACUCAAUUUUAUUUUAUUAAAAUCUUAGAGUAUGAAUUCGCCCCCAUAAUUUUAAAUUCUCAAAAUAACCUCCAUUUAAUUAAAAAAUAUAAUAAUUAUUAAAUGAAUUAUAAUAAUUAUUAUUAUUUUAUUAUAAUCAUAAAUAUAAUUAUAUUUUUAAAAUGGAUUAUUGUUAUUAUUAAUAACAAUAAUAAAAAGCAUUAUAAUUAAUUAAUCUAUUAACAAUAAUUAAUGAUAAUUAUUAUUAAUAAUUAAUUUUUGAAUACUAAUAACAAUAAUAAUAAUAAUUAAAAUAAAAAUUAAUACUUAUGAUAAAAAUUAAUUAAAGAUUUUAUGACAAUUGGUUUACAAUUUAAUUUAUUCUGAUUUUGACUCUAAAAAAAAUAAACAAAUAAAUGGUAAUACAACUCAUUCUAAUUACGAUUUCUUCAACUUAAGUAAAUAAAUUAUAAUGUUAUUCUGUUUAUUUAUUUAUUUUUCUCUGAAGUGUUUUCUAGAGAGAGAGAGAGAGAGUGUGUGUGUGUGUAGAUUUUUUUAACUUUUGAAAAUAGUCACAUUUUGUAAAAUCUUAUGAUAGGAUAAGAUGUAGAUCAAUUUUAACUCGAUGAAAAUAUAUUGUCUGUUAGAAAAAAAUAAAUUAAAAAUAAAUAUUGGAGAAAAUAUAUUAUUAAGUGAAUAAUAAUAAUAAUAAUUUUAAUUUUAAUUUAUUUACUUAAACUGAAGAAAUCGUAAUUAGAAUGAGCUGUAUUACAAUUUAUGUGUUUAUUUUGUCUUAGAAUCAAAAUCAGAAUGAGUUAAAUUGUAACCAAUUACUAUAAAAUCAUUAAUUAAUUUUUAUCAUAAUUAUUAUUUUGUAUUUUAAUUAUUGCUAUUGUUAUUAUUAUUCAAAAAUUAAUUAUUAAUAAUAAUUAUCAUUAAUUAUUAUUAUUAUUAUUAAUUUAAUAAAAAAUAUUAUUAAUUAAUGUCAAUAGGUUAACUAAUUAUAAUUCUUUUUAUUAUUGUUAUUAAUAAUAAUAAUAAUCUAUUUUAAAAAUAUAAUUAUAUUUAUGAUUAUAAUAAAAUAAUAAUUAUAAUAUAAUUCAUUUAACAAUAAAUAUAUUUUUUAAUUAAAUAUAGGUUACUUUGAGAAUUUAAAAUUAUGGGGGCGAAUUCAUACUCUAGGGUUUUAAUAAAAUAAAAUUGAGUAUAACGUGUUAAAUGAAAGUUUAUAAUUCAAAAAGUUUAUAAUAUUUAUUAAUAAAAUAUAAAUAACAUAAAGUAUAGGGAGUUAGCUAACAUUUCACAGACCCACUGGAAGUUACAUUAAAUGUUACAUUUUACGAACAAAAUUUUUUAAAUUUUAAAUGAGUAGAAAACAGAAGAAAAGGUAAACGUGCAUCACGUGUGCUGUACGGCAGCUCUUUCUACCACGGCUUUAUUGUACCUCUUCUGAUUAUUAUUUAAUAUUUUUAAUAAUAAAGAAGACUUGUCUCUAUCAAGGCAAUGCUCUUUUUAUUAUUUAAUAUUUUAAUAACAAAAGGCCAUGAUCAUUUUGGAACUGAUCUAAAAUAUAUUAUAAUUUUUAUUAUGUAAUUAUGGAAGAAUAUUUUCAACAUCACUGGACUCCACAAAUAAUAAUUGGCUUAAGACUAUAAAAGCCAAUUAGUUUUUCAGGCUAUAGAUUGCUCACUCAAUACUCAUGAUGCCAAUGCAUUAUUGCUUGUCAUUCUAGGCUUGUUUGUGUCUUUGGAAAAUUUUCAUUCCAGCCUGUCCACCCACUAGGUUGCCAUGAAGUAAUAAUAAAUAUAAUAAGUUAUUAUUAAAAAACAAAAAAAUCAGUUUGUACGGAGCUUCUCACAUAAUGCUCUUUACUUCUCAGCUUCCUCUGCGGAUCACAUCGUAGGCCACCCACCCUACCAACCUAUCGAGAGUCGAGACCUGUGCUUUUAGUUUUGUUUCCCAUGACCUCAACAAGGAGAAUCGCCUCUGUCAACUACUAGGUAAUUUUAUCAGUAUUUAAGUCUUGGGUUUAAAAAAUUAAAAAAUAAAAAAAUUAAAAAAAAAAGAUAAAUAAUUUUAAAUUUCAUAAGCAAUGGGCCCACUAUUUAAAUUAUUAUUAUUAGCAGCAGCAGCAACUCUGUAAGGGUAAAGCUACUGAUCUGAGUUUCAUUUUGGAUUCAUCGAGCUCAAUUUUCUGAAUUUUGUUAGCUAAAAUUUUCAAAUUCUCUGAAUUCCCUUGUGAAGCAACCAAGUUCGCUUGGCCAGCAGCCUCUUGAAGCAGCACGCCGUAAUCAAGCUUUCAAAUUUGCUUCAACUUUCACAACUAUCCUUUGUCCUUUCAUUUUUUUUUUAAUCUAUUUUAAAAAGAGAUUAUUAGUUUUCCACCUUUGAAAUCGAUAUAUACUACUUAUCCUCUAUUGUUUUUAUAAUAUCUAAUAAAUAUUUGAUACUAAAUUUUUUUUUUAAAAAAGAAGACAUAAUAUCCAAUAAUCUCAUGACACUAAAAAUUUAAAAGAAAAGAGAGGAAUAAAUAAGUUAUUUAUUUGAUAUUUGAUCUUAGAAAUAAAAAAAAUACAUUUAUUAAAAUAAUUUUUUUUCAAAUUAACAAAAAGCACAACAAAAUUAUCUCAAAAAGCACAACAAAAUUAUCUUACUAUUAAUUUUUUAUUUACCUAAGAUUUAUAUUUCUUAUUUUUAGUAUUUAUUUUUUAUUUUAAAUUUAAUCAUACAAAUUAUUUAAUUUAUAAUAAAUAUAAAUAUAAAUAUCUUCAAAAAUAAUGGCAAUAAUAUAAAGGGAGAAUGCUAAGGUACAGUCUGUGUACCUUACAGCACCCUCACAAAAUGAUCGUGGGCUCCACGUCGGCUCACUUUUCAUUUUACUGUGCAAGCGUGGCUGUAAGGUGCAGAACCUGUAAGUUAGCCUCCCUCCAACAUAAAGUAGUGGUGCUAGGAAUUAUUGAAUAUUACAAUAAUAAUAACAAAAAUAAAUAAUAUACACUGAUUUUAAGUGGAGUGGAGGAAAUUUACCGUCACCCUUUUCAAUUAACAUUACAUCUGGGAUUAUUUUUUGUCACCCCAUAAGAAUCGAUAAAUAUUACCAAGUAUCCUAAUUUUUCGACAACUAUUACUGCACACCGAUUCUGUUAAAAAUUACCAUUAACCUUAGUGAUUUUAUCAGAUAUAUAUUGAAACCACCAUAAUACCUCCACAUAAAUUGAAUUGACUAUAAAUACUGAAAUUAUAAGAAUAUAUUAAUUGGCAGUUGACACUUUAUUUUCUUCAAAAAAAAUAAUUAUAGAAUGUGUAAAAAUAAUGUUAAUUGUAAACUGAAAUAAUUAAAAUUAAAUUAAAGUUUAUUUUUUUGAAGAAAUUAUAUUAAAACCCAGGAGACAUCUCCAACGCCAAGCUUCAGCAUCAUGGCAUUUCCCAGUAUUUAUAGCGAUAACCAAAUAUAUGCUUUGAAAGCAACAAAAACAACAACAUAAACUUCCAAUUUCAUAGCACAAUCAAAAUAAUUUAUUAUAUCAAACAAAUUGUCAAUUACCUAAACCUAAAAAUUAAUAAACAAUAGCAUGGAAAACCCUAAAAUUUUAAAAUUGGGAUUUUAUAGUUGUUAGUCACCAUUGUUGGUGCCGCAUCUGUCAGGGUAGUGCAAUUGGUUAUGUGACUCUUGUGACGUCGAUGGAAGGAAAAAGUGAAAACCCUUGUUGUGGAGCAUGAAUGGAGAAGAGAAGAAAAUGAGCAUUUGUUGCCGAGUAUAAACGGGGGAGAGAAGAUGGAGCGUGAAUGGAGUCAUGGAGAAGGAAGAGAAAAAAUAAUUUUUUCCCUUUUUUCUUUAUUCAUCCGUUUAACUUUACUAUUCUACCAUUAUAGCAGUUAAGUUAAUGGUGAUCGCUAAUGGAAUAAGUGCGCAGCCAUAGUUAUUGAAAGAUUAAAGUGUACAGUAAUAUUUGUCGAUUCUUAAGUUGAUUCUUAGGGGGGGAUGGCGAAAAAUAACCCUCACACUUGGCUCGUUGGUAACCAAAAUGAUUUGACAUUUUCCACAACACAUCAAAUCAAACUUUUCUGGCGUGAUGUCGCACAGAUGAUGCGGUCCUCCUUGUAAGAGCCUCUUACUAGAACUAAUAAUAUUUGCCUUGCCAUCUACUCCUUAAAAGUAUACAAAAUAUUUUCUAGGGAAAAACCUGAUUCAUCCUCGUAUAUGCAUAAUGUUAGGUUUAAAAUUAAAUAGAAGCACUCGAGAAAAAUUAUUUAAAGCUAGCAUAUACCAAAAUGAAGAAUAUAAUUUUGAACCAACCUUUUUUUUUAUUUAAAGCUAGCAGAGGGAAAUUUUUAAAUUGGGAAAAAUAAAAUUUUUAGAUGAAAUUAAAAAAUGAUUCUCUAGAAAAGCUAGGACCUGCUUGGUUCCAAUUGUAAUUGCCUUUCCUUCUUCUUAGUUUUUAGAAUAUAAACUAUUUUUUUUAAAGAGACUCACACUAUCAUGGAUUUACUGGGCGCUCAUCCAUUGCUAUUAUCUUUUUCCCACUUUUCAUCUUUCUUCUUCCAUCAACAGUAAAUAUUUAUUAAUUUAAAUAAAUUAAAUCCAAUGUUUAUUUAACUGUGUUGCGCCUUUUGUAAUUUUCUACGCAUCUAUAUUUAUACAUAAAGAGAUAAAUUAAAUAACUGAUCACCAACUCCAAAUCUUAUCACACCUAUAUAUAUUUAUAAAAUUUUUCUAUGAUGCCGUAUAAAUUUUUAUGGUAUUGAUAAUAGGGUCACUUAUGGGCCCUUGAAUCUAGAUGUUUUAAUUUUCACCAUUUAUUUAAUUUAGUAAAUGAAUAACUAAUUACUUAAUAAUGAAUGGAUAAUAUUUGUGUUUAUGGAUAUAAGUUUAUAUUUUUUAUAAUUUGAUAAAUAUUUUCUAAUCGCCAACAAAAUUAAAUAUUCAAUAUGCAGAUAUACAAAUUAAUUUAUAUGUUUAAACAACGAAUAUGAAUUAUUUAAUAUUCAACAAUACAUGUUAAUUCAAAUCCUUUUUAUAAUUUAUAAUUAUAAAAAAUAUAAUUUUGAAUUCUUAGUUCUAUUUGUUGUCUAUUUUCCUUUUAAAUUGCUCAUUGUCUAAGAUUGAGUUAAUUAAUUGUUGUAAUAUUUAUUAAUCUAGCAACUUUUUUUUUUUGUUGUUGCUGAAGAAGAGAUAAUAAUAAUAGAAUAAAUUAAGAUUGAGUUGUGUUAAUAUUAAAAUACAUAAAAGGAAAUAUAGAAGUUUCAAUAAACUAUAGUUGUUUCUUUUUCAUUAAUCUUUAAAAAAUCUUUUAAAUAAUUGAAAUUAAAUAUUGUCCUAACUAAGUGGCCGUUCAUUUUUUUGACAUAAUGACUUAAUUGAUUUAAUUUUAAUCAGUUAGGUAAUUAAAUCUGUUUAUUUUUACAACUUAAUGAACAAUUUCAGCUAUUAAAUCAUUAAGUUAUUAACUAAUUUUUUUAGCCUUUUACUUAAUAUAAAAAGUCUAAAUGAUAUCAUUAAAAAAUAUUCUCUAAAAUAUCUCUAUCUUAUUAAUUAAUUUUCAUCCUUACCUAAAUAAAAUUUAAUAAUUAACAUUAUUACACAUCUUUUUAUAACUUGUGAUGAUUUAUGGUGGUACACUAUUAUUAUGUUUUAUCUUUUUAUUUUCUUCAAAUUAGCAUUAUUUAUUUUCAUAAUUGUUUUAUGAAAUUUUUCAUAUAAAAACAUCAAAACUAUAAUAAAAUCGAUUAACAUAUAUAAUAUAGAAUAUUAAAGAGUUUUAUUCAAUUGAAUAUGAUUCAGAUUAUGAUAAUUUAUUAUCUUAGUUAUAUUCUUUGAGAUGUUUAUUUUUUAACAUUUAUAAUUUAUAAGGGUAUAAAUGUAAAAAUAUUGAUUUUUAGAUUUUUAAGUUGAAAAAAUAAAAAAACUAAAUAUUUAUUUUCAGCGAUUCAGAUAAAAAAAUAAAUAUAUCAUUUAAAUUUAGACAUUCGGCUCUAUUCAUAAUUUAGAUUAAUUAAGGUCUAUUCAGAUUUCAGACAAAAAACAAGUGCCACCUAACUUUUAACUUUGUGAAUGGUAUAUUUAUUCAUACUACAAUUUUUAUAAGUGUAUCAUAGAGUGACCCACAUAACACAAACACACUCUACAUAUAUAUAGGACAUUGUUUGGUUGGCUACACGUGGUGUGCUCCAUCAUGUGUAGCUAGUUUUGCCCUUUGGAUUUACAUCCAAAUCCACUAGUGGCAGAUCUACUAGUGGCCGAUACUGGGCUACAAACAAAAAAUGAAAAUUCAAGUAUGCUAACUAAAUUUACGAAUAUGCCAUCACUGAUUGAUUAAAAGAGUACCAUUCAAUUUUUUUUAAAAAAAUUACUUAAUUCACUUUUUCUUUGCUUUUAUUGACAAUAAUACUAAAAGCCAAGAGUGAAAAAGAAUUGGUGGUUCCCUUCACGAUUUUUCAUCUUCUUCAUCUUUCAAUUUCUUUACCUUUAUAUCUUUUCCUAUCGAUACACUUUCAGUGUUCCUUCUAGUUUCUAUAGACACAAUAGGGUGUGUAUUUUUAGCCAUGAGCCUUAUCAAGAUAUCACUUUACAAGAAUACGGAAAAUGAGUUUCUUUUAAGUUGUAUAAUUAUUUAUGCUGAAAGAGAAAUUAUAUAUACUAUUGAUUCAGAUUCCAUAAUUAAUGAGUUUUGAAAAGUACAAGCCUUAGUAGUAUUUUUCUUUUGAAUUACAUUUUUAUUUUCUACUUUUUUAUAUAAUUAUUUUAUUUAAAGUAAAUAUUACCUGGGAUAAGGCUUCUAAUAUCCCUGUAUUUUAUACUUAUAUACUUAAGAAAUUUUAAGUGCGCUUCACAACAUUAUUUUUUUAAAAAUACAACAUCUUCCUUUCUCUCUUUACUACCAUAUAGGUCACAGUACAAAGGCCUCCCUAUAUUAUUAUUAUCUUUUUUCAGCUCAAUUUAAUAUUUCCUAUGGAUUCCUCAAACUCAAAGCCAGCAGCUGAAGUAGCCUAGGACGUGUCUCCCAUGUUUAAAAUAUACGAAGACGGCAGAGUAGAGAGGCUUAUAGGCAACAAGAUAGUUCCCCCAUCCUUUGAUCCAAAAACAAGCGUUGAUUCCAAAGACGUUGUGUAUUCACCUGAAAAUAAUCUAUCCGCCCGGCUUUACAUCCCCAAAAACACAAACAAUCCAAACCAUAAACUCCCUCUAGUGGUUUAUAUCUAUGGCGGAGGCUUUUGCAUCUAUUCUGCCUUUCAUCCAAUUUACCAUAAUUAUGUUAAUACCCUUGUCUCUGAAGCUAAGGUUAUUACAGUCUCCGUUGACCAUCGACGAGCUCCUGAGAAUCCUGUCCCUUGUGCUCAUGAAGAUUCAUGGGCUGCACUCAAAUGGGUUGCUUCCCAUGCUUAUGGACAAGGCCCUGAAGAUUGGCUUAACUAUUAUGCUGAUUUUGAGCGAGUUUUUAUUUAUGGGGACAGCGCUGGAGGUAAUAUAGCUCAUCACAUGGUGAUGAGACUCCCUCGAGAAAUUCUCGACGGUUUUAAUGUUGUUGGUAUUGUUUUAGCUCAUACUUAUUUUUGGGGAAAAGAACCUGUUGGUAAUGAGACAACUGAUGCCGAAACUAGAGCUUCCAUAGAGAAGAUGUGGUGAGCUGCUUGUCCUGGUACAAGUGGGUGCGAUGAUCCGCUAAUUAAUCCGUUCGUCGGUUCGAGUCUAGCGAACCUCGGGUGCAAAAGGGUGCAGGUUCAUGUUGUAGAGAAGGAUUUGAUGAGAGAUAGAGGAUGGUUUUAUUAUGAGAAGUUAAAGGAAAGUGGUUGAGGAGGUGAAGCGGAGAUCGUUGAGUCUAAAGGAGAGCCGCAUAUCUUCUAUUUGCUCAGUCCCACUUGUGACAGUGCUGUGGCUAUGAGGAAGAAGAUUGUCCUUCUUCAACGAGAUUUAGACAUGAAUUUCUUAUAUAGGUUGUUCAAAUAAGCUACCGCAAUUGAUCUGCUGGAAAUUACAGCACUUCCAAGGUUAUAACGUUUCUUUUUUUUUUUUUUUUUUUUCCCCUUUACCACGUGGAAGGAGAGGUAUUUUCCUAAAUUCACAUCUGUGAUAUAUAUUUCACACUUAGACUUUGAUUUGGUGUAUGUAUGAUAUGGUUGUAUUGUUGGUUAAAAAUUCUCAAAUUAAAUUGCUUCAAUCUCAAAUUUCAAGUCAAAAUUAUGAAAGAAUUGAUGUUAGCACUCAUGGUCUAUACGGAAUUAACAUAAAAAUCAAGUAUAAACUAAAACAAUAUUCAAACCUUUCUAAGAACUAUAUUCAUUGUAAAUCAAGUUCUUACCAUUGGCUUUUCAUAUUUAUAACAAAUAUUUUUUUUUGGAAAUUCUUAAUGGAUUUUUUUUUUAACUUAACAAUAAUUAAAACACAUACUAACUCCCACCCCCAAACUUAUUUUGAGCAUUGUCCUUAAUAUUUCAUAAUCUAAAGAUAUAAAUACAAAAAGGUGAAAGAGAUAAAGAAAUCAUGAAGAAUAAAACAAAAAGUUAGCGAGAUCACACUUGAGCUGGUUGCAAAAGCUUAAAAGAAGAUGACAAAGAACAAGAAAAUGUUAGAAAAUAAAAAUAUUAGGAAACAAAAAUAAACAAAAGUCCUUAGUAUCAUGCGAAAUAAACGAAAAUUUCUCAAAUAAUGACACUAACAAGUCCUCCAGGAUAAACAAGAAUUUGGUUAUAUACUUAGAGUGACUAUCAAGAAAACAAAAAACAAGACUAUUGAACCUCUUGAGCAUAUGAUCUAUGAAAGAAAAAUGCAAGUGACCUCGAUUUUACCAACCUUUUUCACAAUAGGGUUUGGAUUUGGUAUUAUCUCAAGCAUAUGGCUAAAACCAUUCUCAAAGUGAAUCAUAGGUGCAUAGAACGAGGGACUGCAGCUAUCCAACUUAUGGCUUCUUCAUGUUCAUUAAAAAUCAUUAAUUAAUUUACCAACAUGUUUAUUUUAUUUAGUUGCUAAAAUAACAAAGAAGUUUUCUGAAGAUACUUAAGACAGAGAAAUGGAUGACUCAAGUAAUGGUUUCAAGUCUAAUAACGGUCGUUUUUCUAUAGAUGGAGGAGGUAUAGACUUAGAGGGUGGAAGACAGUCUACUUUAGCUAUCCAUUUAUUAAGAUCCAUUAAUGAGGUAGACUCUGGUAUAGAAUUUACUUCACUAAUCAUAGUAUUCGCAUUUAUGUCGAUGCUAAAAUAAGUUGAAUAAUCUUUUACUAGUCAUCUUCAUUGAAAAGCAUAAAGGAAUUAUUGAUUGUACUCUCUAUUAGAUUGACAACUCCAUCAUCAUUAAAAUUCUCUAUAGUAUAAAGUUGUUUACUAACAAUAAACACAUUGAGUUCCAUAGUCAUAUUCCUAAAUGAAAUUCUUAUGACAUCAUUAUGACAAUUAUUAAGAAUUUGUUGUGGCUAAGAACGGUCAACCACUAAUAAGAAUUUGAGAACAUGGGUUCACUACAGGUUCAGUGUCAAGAACUAUGAAGUCGUCAUGAAAGUAGAAUUUAUCUACCUUGACAAGAACAUCCUCUAUAAUCCCUCUAAAAAUGUUGACAGAUUUAUCUAGGGAUGGCAAUGGGGAGGGGAGGGGAGGGGACCAAUCUCCCCGUACCCAUCCCCGAUAUUUUACGUAUGUCCCCGUCCCCUCCCCAUCCCCUCCCCGAAUAAUAACAGGGGAUCCCCGAGGGUCUCCGAUCCCCGAAUAACUAAUACAUUUUUUUGUUUUCAAUUUUGAGUUAAUCAUAUUAAAAUAAAAAAUUCAAAUAAAAGUAAAGUUUGAAAUAUAUCUUACAUUAAUAUCCAUUACAAAAGUCACAUACAUGAAAUUAGUAAGUAACGAUGCAUGCAAGGGAUACAAACUAUCAUGAACAAAUUAAUAGCCUAAUACAAAAUUGUUACAAAUAAAAUCAAUUUUAGAUUCAAAAUUAACUUUUCAAUGGUGGCGUUGGCACUUUAUAAAUGUGGACUAUUCCCUUUACAACACAAUAGUUAAGUCGAAGCAAAUCAAGAGUAAAUAUUAGAUUAGAUUAGAUAUUAAAAUUAUGAUUUGCUGUGGGCAAUUAUAACAUCUAAAAAUAAAUAAAAAAUAGAUUUAAGUUUAAAAGAUUUAAUGAAUAUUAAAAUUAAAACAAAAGUUUUGGGCUAAUAGAAUCUGUCCGGUCUUUUUAAUGUCCUAAAUAAAAAUUUAGGACUUUAAUUAGUUAAUUAGGCCUAAAAGUUUAAUAAUAUAAAUAUUUUGAUAUUUCUAUUUUUACCAAUACUUAUAAUUUUAUAAUUCAAAUUUUAUUAUUUAUUUACUAGUAAUUUUAAAAAAUAAAAAUUAAAUUAAAAAUUAAAAUGGGGAAAUGGGUAAGGGAUGGGGAUUCCACCUCAUCCCCGUCCCCUCCCCGAAUAAGAAAUUGGAUAAAAAAAUUUCCCCUCCCCUUCCCCGAAUAAGAAAUUGGGUAUGAAAUUAUCCUCAUACCCUCCCCGAAUAGGGAAAAUCCCCGAGGGUACCCAUCCCCGUGGGGAUUUUUGCCAUCCCUAGAUUUAUCUACUGAUUAGAGUGAUACAUGAGCGGGUUUCAAGUCUUUAAAUCCUAAUUUCUCAUAGAUAGAGUAUGGCAACAAGUUAACAAUGGCACUUAAAUCAAGUAAAGCUCUAUCAAAUGCAUGGUCUCUAAUAACACAAGAAAUUGAGAUAAACUAGGGUAUUUAUACUUAGUAGGAAUUUUGUUCAGGAGAAUGCUAUUAACCUUUUUAGUUAGGAAUGCCUUUUAUGGGACAUUGUUUUUCCUUUUUACUAUACAAAGAUCUUUUAAGAACUUAGCAUAAGCUGAUAAUCGUUGAAUAACAUCAAGCAAAGGGAUGUUUAUACGAACUUGCUUAAACAUUUCUAGAAUAUCAUUAUAAUGAGUAUCUUUCUCUUAUAGGACAAGUCUUUAUGGGUAAGGAGCUUUGAGAACAUAAGGCUUUGAUUGAAUUCCAUUCUCAUUAGGUUUACUAGGUAAUUGCUUUUCAAUUGAAGUUGGUUGACUUUCUUUCCAAUGCUCAAGAACUUUUAAAUAAUUAUCAAUUGUUUUUCCAAACCUAAGGGUAGUUAUAGAUUUGGCUUUCUUAUUAGGCAUAUUAGAAAUGGAUGAUGAUCUUAUUUCAAAUUGACUUUUAGGGUUAGGAAUUGGUUAACUAAGUAGUUUUUCUUUUUCCCUCUCAGCUACAGUAGUUGCUAAUGGACCCAAUUGAUUUUAAGCUUUAAAAUAACUUUAGUGUUUCAAUGUAAGGCUUAUUGGGUUGACUGAAUGAAAUUUUGAAGUGUAUCUCUAAAAAAUGUAUUCUUUGUGAAAUUCUAUUUAUGCAACUCAAGAGAGGAGAUGAAUUGGGUAACUAAAAAUUAUUCAAUUCUAAAACAAAACUCAAUGCAAAUCUAAAAUGAAUUUAAAGAAAUAACAGAUAAAUCAAUCACAAAAUAAAAAGAUAAGGGAAGAGAGAUUCAAACACGGAGAUUUUUACGUGGUUCGGCCAAACUCGCCUACGUCCACGCCUCCAAGCUUUCCAAGCUUGAGGAUUUCACUAAACAAGCCUCAAAGGCUUCAAAUGCUUACAAUUGACUUCCAAUGUGUAAAUGAACCUUUACAACAAGAGAUUGUCCUCAAUUUCUUAACCCAAGUGUAUCACAACACUUAUAAUCACUCAAAACAAAAAUUAUAAAUUUGUUCUGCACUCACAUAAUACUUAAGAUUACAAAUCAAUGCCCAAUGUGUGACUAAAUGAAGCAAAAAUGUGUUUAAAGUUUUAUGAAGGUUGUAUUCUCUAUUAUGAGUUCAAUGAUAGUGUUGUGAUCAACCUUUGUUUGAAUUUGAAUGAGUUUAUUUAUACUUGGAGCUGAAAAAUAGUUGUUACUGAUUGUCUGCUCGUAAACGGAUCGCUGUUAACCAUUAACGGUUAACCGUUUGGACUGGUCAAAGUUACCGUUGAGCCAAAUUUCAAAUAAACGGUUGACCGUUUAUCACUACCGUUUCACCGUUAAUUUUCAGAGACCUGCAAAACAAAUUUCUACUAUCCGUUCUUACUAAACGGUUAAAUAUUAGUAAGGAAAGACAUUCUAGAAUUUAUCGGUUAGCCGUUUGAAGUUAACGGUUCGCCAGUUAUUUCUAGUAACCUGCAAAACGAAAUAGCCUAAUCUGUUUCUGUUAAACAGUGAAAGAUUAGUACAAGCUUCCAUCCUGGAGUUUAUCGGUUAACUGUUUUCUAUAAAUGAUUCACCGUUUAAUUCUAGUAACCUUCCUAGCAUAUUUGUGUUUUCCAUUUUUGCUAUCCGGUUAGAGCUUAAGCAAUUGACCCUCUCUGGAUUUUAUCGAUUAACCGUUUACUUCCAGAAUCACAGUUUUAGCCAAAUAUUGCACGAAAUCAUUUUCCAUGUUGAAAUUUAAUAACUAUCCAUCUUUCAUGAAUGUAAUUGGAAUGAUUAUAUGGCUUUUGUUUAUUAAUGAAUAGCUCUAACAUUUUAAUAAAAAACAUUUAAAGUUUGUUAUCAUCAAAAUUAAUAUUAUGAAUAUAUACAUGUUAACACUUUGUUAGAGUGCAGUAAAUUGUUGAACAAGAGGAUAUGCUAGGUUAUAAGGGACAAAUUCUUUAUCGGGCAUGCUAAAUUGUUGUCCUCCUCUGUUUGAUAUAGUUUGAUUUUGUUUUUAGAAAAAAAUUAGGGUGAUUCCCUAAUUAGAAUUAUAUGUGGGUAAAUAUGGACUAUUAGAGGAUUUGUCAUAUAAUUGUAAUGCAUGUACUAGCUCAGAAUAAGCCUUUUGAUAGGCUGGUAAUGAAGGACAAUUCUAUGUCAUAUGAGAUAAGUUGGAACAAAUAGCACAAAUUUCAUUAGCUACACUAGGAUGAUGAUUCAUUGAUUGGUUUAUAGUUAAGACUUCGACUUUCUUGGAAAGAUUAGCUAGAGUGGCUUUCACAUCAAACUCAUUAUUAACUUCAUGUAGACCAUUGUCAUGACCCAACCUAGGCCUGGUAAGAUAUUGUCCGCUUUGGGCCUUAAUAAGGCCCGCACGGUUUUGUUCUUGGGGCGCCCAUACACCCCAAAAUGUGUCUUGCCAAUUAAGGUGUGAAUCGCCCCUUAUAAACUCAGCAUCUCUCUCGUGCUUUGUCGAUGUGAGAUUCGCCUAGAAUGUUACAACCAUUAAGUUUUGGACUGAUUUUUCUCUUUAAUUUAAAAUAUCUCAUUGUUAAGAAUUCUUAAAAAGUGAACUGAAGAAAUCCUAAGCAGCCAUUUCAUAUAGGUUCAAAAUCUUGCCACCAUUCAUAAACUCUACCAUACAACAAUUUGAUAUCCAUUAUAAAAGUACUCUACUAGUUUACAUUUCUUAAAACCAUUGUAGGGACACUUAAGGAGUGGUUAUUAAAUCUUUCCCAACACUUAUAAAAUUGUUCACUUUCUCUUUGAUAAAAAUCACUUAUCUCUCUCUCAAGGGCAUUUGUUUUAGAUAUAGGGAAAACCUUAGCGAGAAAUUUAUUGCUCAAUCAUCCCAUGUAGUAAUAGAGCCAGUGGAAAGUGAAUUCAACCAAUUUUUUGCUUUGUCUUUUAAUAAAAAAGGGAACAUAUGAAUCUUAAUUGAAUCAUCGUUAAAAUUUUGGAAUGAAAUGUAGAGCAUAGUACUCAAAUCGUCCAAUUUUAAUUGUUCUCUUUCUCUUUUAAACCCUUCAAUACUUAAAAUAAAAACUCAAAAUCUUCAUUUACAAUUCUCUUUUCUAGUACAAUCUUCUGACGGGCAACUAAUUUUUACAACUCUCUGCAUUCAUCGUUGAUUGUUGUUUCAUUAUCCUUGAGAAUUUUAAUUUAUUAAGUAUUUAGUAUCAUUCUUUUUAGAUUAAUAUAAUUAAUUGCAAAUAUUUUUUAUGUGUACCGCAGUGCUAGAGUAUGAAAAGGAAAUUUGAAUUUCACUAUAUAUUUUUUUAAAAAAGGAAAUUAAUAGCCUUAACAUAUGCAUUACAUCAAGAUAAAUAUAGAAGCUAAAUAUACUAACAAAAGCAAAACAUACAUUUAAUUCCUCUCAUAAACACCGUACUAAUUAAUUAAAGUUGUGUGAUAAACGAAACAAACUUAUUGAUCAACUCUACAGCUUUUUCACAUUUAAGGUUGUCGAAAUAGAAGCUAUGCCCUUCGCCGUGAGUCUCAACAAGCUCCACCGUUCCUUUCCACCCACUUUUCUUCAAGUCUUCGUAGUAAUUCAUAGCUACAGGUUUCAAAAAAUCUUUCUCAGCCACAAAUAUCAAAACCCUCUCACACCCAAGCCUGGCCAGAUCCUCUGCGGGUGGUUUCAGCCGAGGAUCCUGCAACCCUCCGUUUGUUGGACACAUGUACAACCACAGCUCAUCUUCUUCAGGACUAGUGCCACCGAAAAAUGGAUGCACCAUG